UACGUAUGUCCCGAGCGUUAUCCGGAUUCAUUGGGCGUAAAGCGAGCGCAGACGGUUGAUUAAGUCUGAUGUGAAAGCCCGGAGCUCAACUCCGGAAUGGCAUUGGAAACUGGUUAACUUGAGUGUUGUAGAGGUAAGUGGAACUCCAUGUGUAGCGGUGGAAUGCGUAGAUAUAUGGAAGAACACCAGUGGCGAAGGCGGCUUACUGGACAACAACUGACGUUGAGGCUCGAAAGUGUGGGUAGCAAACAGG
rnacentral:rRNA from 1 species